ACCGCAUAAUGCUAAGAAGCUGCAUGGCGUCUUAGCCAAAGGUUAAUUCCGCUCAAGGAUGGGCCCGCGGCCCAUUAGCUAGUUGGUGAGGUAAUGGGCUCACCAAGGCGACGAUGGGGUAGCCGGCCUGAGAGGGUGGGUCGGCCACACUGGGGACUGAGACACGGCCCAGACUCCUACGGGAGGCAGCAGUGGGGAAUAUUGCGCAAUGGGGGAAACCCUGACGCAGCGACGCCGCGUGAGCGAUGAAGGCCUUCGGGUUGUAAAGCUCUGUCUUCCCUGACGAUAAUGACGGUAAGGGAGGAGGAAGCCACGGCUAACUACGUGCCAGCAGCCGCGGUAAUACGUAGGUGGCGAGCGUUGUCCGGAAUUACUGGGCGUAAAGGGUGCGUAGGCGGCUCUUUAAGUGGGAUGUGAAAUCCCUGGGCUCAACCCAGGAACUGCAUUCCAAACUGGAGAGCUAGAGUGCAGGAGAGGAAAGCGGAAUUCCCAGCGUAGCGGUGAAAUGCGUAGAGAUGG
rnacentral:rRNA from 1 species